rnacentral:misc_RNA from 1 species
GCGAACAAAAGACUACUAAACCCCAAAUCUAUUAAACAGUAUAGCAGUUCACUCUCAAGAUGUUCUUACUAAAAUCCACAACCCAAGCAACAGACUCCAUCGCCUACUACACCAAAUAACCAACAUAGCAAAUAAACAACAAUGAUCAUCAAAAGAAACAACUCUACUCUCCCAUUUCAACUCUAGGUCACCAAAGGCGCAUACUACACGAGUUUCAAACCACAAGUCGAUUGUUCCAAUAGCGCACUCAGAAGCAUUUCCGGUGGACGAUCGCAGGACCAGACUCAUCAUACUCACCCUUAGAAAUCCACAUCUGC